AUGCCGACUGAUCACGGCGGCAGCAGCGACGGCGGCCACCAGGCGCAAUGUCGGCACAGGGGCGCCAGCGUCGACGUCGAGCUCCGCGCCGCCAUGGCGCUGGCCGACAUGGCGGGGGCCGGGGCCGGGGCGGCCGCCGACCACGCGCUCCCGGCGCAGCACCUGCGCCACGCCGCCGCCCCAGCUGCUCAGGCGGCGAUGGAGCAGGAGGACGAGGAGCUGGCGAGCACGAGGCUGAGCCUUGAGCUGGGCAACGUCGGCAUCCAGUCCUCCCCUUGCUCCAGCAGCUCCAGCGGCGCCGGGCAGCAACCGCCGCAGUCGUCCGCGGCCGUGACGGGAUACGGCCUCAGCAGACCGCGGCACAUGCUCACCGAGGCAGAGAAGGAGGCGAAGCGGCUGCGGCGCGUGCUCGCGAACCGGGAGUCCGCCCGGCAAACCAUCCUCCGCCGCCAGGCGAUCCGGGACGAACUGGCGAGAAAAGUCGCGGAUUUAGCGUCGCAGAACGAGAACAUGAAGAAGGAGAAGGACAUGGUGCUGGAACAGUACCUCACGCUCAAGGAGACGAACAAGCAGCUGAAACAACAGGCACAUCAUCUAUCGCUUUCAUUCCUUUAA
rnacentral:rRNA from 1 species